AAGUCGUAACAAGGUUUCCGUAGGUGAACCUGCGGAAGGAUCAUUCUUGUAUUAUCUAGUAGUUUAUUGCUCAGGCAAUUUACUUUCUACUAUGUGAACAGUGGUGUAUUUACUUGAUUGCAACAAUGCAAAUAUUUUUUGUGUUGAUUGUGAUUGGGAAAAAUUCAAAACAAAUUUAACAUGAAUACUACUAUAUAUUUACAAUUGUCUUAACAUAACAACAACAACAAUUAAAAAUACAACUUUUAGCAACGGAUCUCUAGGCUCUC
rnacentral:misc_RNA from 1 species